rnacentral:tRNA from 1 species
UUAAUUGAAACCAAAAUAGAGGUAAAUUAUUGUUAAUAAUUUAAUUGAGGUUUUCUCCAAUUAAU